rnacentral:rRNA from 1 species
AACGAACGCUGGCGGCAUGCCUAACACAUGCAAGUCGAACGAGACCUUCGGGUCUAGUGGCGCACGGGUGCGUAACGCGUGGGAACCUGCCCUUAGGUUCGGAAUAACUCCCCGAAAGGGGUGCUAAUACCGGAUAAUGUCUUCGGACCAAAGAUUUAUCGCCUUUGGAUGGGCCCGCGUUGGAUUAGCUAGUUGGUAGGGUAAAAGCCUACCAAGGGGACGAUCCAUAGCUGGUCUGAGAGGAUGAUCAGCCACACUGGGACUGAGACACGGCCCAGACUCCUACGGGAGGCAGCAGUGGGGAAUAUUGGACAAUGGGCGAAAGCCUGAUCCAGCAAUGCCGCGUGAGUGAUGAAGGCCUUAGGGUUGUAAAGCUCUUUUACCCGGGAUGAUAAUGACAGUACCGGGAGAAUAAGCUCCGGCUAACUCCGU